AAUACAGAAGGAGACGAUGUUUUCUUAUGUGAAUAUGAGUAUGACAUCAUUUGGCAUAGUUUCAAGCGUCUAGCUGAUAUU